CUCUGGAUAGAGAAUCAGAGGUGCUCCUUCUCUAGCUUAGUGCUUGAUUUGCCUACAGGAUUCACCACUGCUGGCUGAUGUGGAAGCAAGAAUAUAGGAGAAAAAAAAGCCAUCAACAGCAUCAACAGCUUCAACAAAGCAACAUGUGAAUGCAGUCUAAUCUUCAGGAGAUGAUGCUGAACAGAUCUACUGCAGGAGAGUCAGAGCCAGAGAUACCAAUUCUGCAGGAAGAGCGGUGAAGUAGAGCCCUAAAGACCAAGUCCUGAAGAGCAUCUUGUUUCUUUAUGUGCAUUGCGCUCAUUCUCCUUCAAGGCUACAGCAAAAUUGUUUCUGGAAUGCAGCAAAUGGUAUAAUACAUGUUACAGAUCCCAUUCCUAGUUAGCUGCAAAGCUUCUGCUGCAUUUGGGUUAAGGAGGUAAGAGGCAACAUUUCAUUGUUCAAGAAUUUUUAGGACUGGCUAAAGAAAGACUCAGCUGCAAUUACAAGCCAAGUAAGACCAUGCUGACUUUUCUAUGAUUUUCUCAACACACAGCUGCACAUCUGCCAGUUAGAGCUGGUUGGAAUAUUUCCAGCAAAUCAAAAUUUUUUUGGAAACCUUCCCAUGGAUUACAAGGUCCAAGAUGCUGGGGCUCUUGGAAAACCUUGGACUUGACAGACGUCAACAAGUCAGAGGUGAAUUCCUGAGAGCAUACAAGCAGCUGCCCAGUCUUUAGCCCCUGGGUGAUGUAUCUGCAUGGUUGCACAGGGAUGCUUCAAUUUGGGCUGAAGAAUGGGGAACCCACUCAGUGGAAAACUUCUGGAAAAGAAUGGGUUUUGCAGGAUCUGCUACAGACCAGCUCCAAGAGGGGAAUAGAUGGCUGUGGAUCCCAGAUGGAGAAGAAGCUCUAGUAUACUG
rnacentral:lncRNA from 1 species